rnacentral:rRNA from 1 species
UACAGGAGGGCAAGCGUUUAUCGGAAUUAUGGUGCGUAAAGGGCGCGUAGGCGGCUUGGCAAGUGGAUGGUGAAAUCCCUCGGCUUAACCGAGGAACUGCCACCCAGACUGCUUAGCUUGAGACCGGGAGAGGUGAGUGGAAUUCCCAGUGUAGCGGUGAAAUGCGUAGAUAUUGGGAGGAACACCAGUGGCGAAGGCGGCUCACUGGACCGGUACUGACGCUGAGGCGCGAAAGCGUGGGGAGCAAACGGGG